UACAAAGGGGGCUAGCGUUGCUCGGAAUCACUGGGCGUAAAGGGUGCGUAGGCGGGUCUUUAAGUCAGGGGUGAAAUCCUGGAGCUCAACUCCAGAACUGCCUUUGAUACUGAGGAUCUUGAGUUCGGGAGAGGUGAGUGGAACUGCGAGUGUAGAGGUGAAAUUCGUAGAUAUUCGCAAGAACACCAGUGGCGAAGGCGGCUCACUGGCCCGAUACUGACGCUGAGGCACGAAAGCGUGGGGAGCAAACAGG
rnacentral:rRNA from 1 species